rnacentral:rRNA from 1 species
GAUGAACGCUGGCGGCGUGCCUAAUACAUGCAAGUCGAGCGAACGGACGAGAAGCUUGCUUUUCUGAUGUUAGCGGCGGACGGGUGAGUAACACGUGGAUAACCUACCUAUAAGACUGGGAUAACUUCGGGAAACCGGAGCUAAUACCGGAUAAUAUUUUGAACCGCAUGGUUCAAAAGUGAAAGACGGUCUUGCUGUCACUUAUAGAUGGAUCCGCGCUGCAUUAGCUAGUUGGUAAGGUAACGGCUUACCAAGGCAACGAUGCAUAGCCGACCUGAGAGGGUGAUCGGCCACCCUGGAACUGAGACACGGUCCAGACUCCUACGGGAGGCAGCAGUAGGGAAUCUUCCGCAAUGGGCGAAAGCCUGACGGAGCAACGCCGCGUGAGUGAUGAAGGUCUUCGGAUCGUAAAACUCUGUUAUUAGGGAAGAACAUAUGUGUAAGUAACUGUGCACAUCUUGACGGUACCUAAUCAGAAAGCCACGGCUAACUACGUG